rnacentral:rRNA from 1 species
GAUGAACGCUAGCGGCAGGCCUAACACAUGCAAGUCGAGGGGCAGCAUAAAACAAGCUUGCUUGUUUGGUGGCGACCGGCGCACGGGUGCGUAACGCGUAUGCAACCUACCCUGUACUGGGGGAUAGCCCGGAGAAAUUCGGAUUAAUACCCCAUAGUAUAAUUGAAUCGCAUGGUUUGAUUAUUAAAGGUUACGGUACAGGAUGGGCAUGCGUCCUAUUAGCUUGUUGGUGAGGUAACGGCUCACCAAGGCUACGAUAGGUAGGGGGCCUGGGAGGGUGGUCCCCCACACUGGUACUGAGACACGGACCAGACUCCUACGGGAGGCAGCAGUGAGGAAUAUUGGUCAAUGGGCGCAAGCCUGAACCAGCCAUGCCGCGUGCAGGAAGAAGGUCCUAUGGAUUGUAAACUGCUUUUAUUUGGGAAUAAACCCCUUUACGUGUAGAGGGCUGAAGGUACCAAAUGAAUAAGCACCGGCUAACUCCGUGCCAGCAGCCGCCGUAAUAC